rnacentral:rRNA from 1 species
UUCUUAUUGAAAUAAUAAUAAGUAAAACCUGCUCAAUGUAAAAACAAAUAGCCGCAGAACUUUUACUGUGCUAAGGUAGCAUAAUCACUAACCUUUUAAUUAAAGGCUUGUAUGAAAGGUUAAACAUUUAAUAACUUUUUUUAUUAUAAUCUUUAAAUUAUAUUAAAUAUAAAAAUAUAUUUAUUACCUAAUUAGACGACAAGACCCUUUUGAACUUUACUUUAGUUUAGCUGGGGCAGCUAAUUAAAAAACACCUUAAUAUUGUAACUUAGAUUCAAUGAACCAAUAUUAAUUGGAACAAGGAACAAGUUACCAAAGGGAUAACAGCGUAAUUUCUUUCUAAAGCUCUUAUCUAAAAAGAAGAUUGCGACCUCGAUGUUGAAUUAAUAUCCCUAAUAUAAUGCAAUAGUUUAUCAAGGAGGUCUGUUCGACCUUUAAUUUAUUAC